rnacentral:tRNA from 1 species
GGGCCCGUAGCUCAGCAAGGCAGAGCGGCGGACCAGCUCUUCAAAUAUCCGAGGCUGGGUUGAGGCUCUUAGGGUCUCGAGGCUGGGGAGACCCGUAGGUCGGGGGUUCAAUUCCCCCCGGGCCCG